rnacentral:lncRNA from 1 species
UUGAUAAGUCAGGAAAUAAUUAUAAGUCGUAGUACCAAUUAACUAAGAUGGCUUGCUUAAUUGAGAGAAAUACAAAAGAUAAAUAUGAAGACAAGGUAAAAUAGAGUACAAAUGUGAGUUGAUACAGAUGCUCUUUGGAGGGUGAAGACAACUCAAUUGCUCGUCCGGACAGGAGUAGUGGAUUUAUCUUCCUGUUAAUCGAUCCGGCUUGCUUCCUCCGAUCAGAUCUCUGGUUUGUUCCUUCAAUCUUCAAAAAACACCCACGGCUCAACCAUGGACGCCCCAAAUCCAUCAGCAAUCUGCAUCCUCCUCCCAUAUCCUCCGCCUCCGCCCCUUCUGUUCCCCCAACAGCGUCUGCCUCAUUCCCACCCCGCCCGCUUUUCACCCGUCAAUAUGCACCGUCAAUUCGCCUUCUCCAAAUGAAACCCUCGGUGGCCACGAAAGAGAGGGGAAGGGAGAAGGCGGCGAGAGGCGUCUCUCAAACCCUAGUGUCCUAUACCCUUCCUUUUACUUCACCCAAGUGUUCACCCAAGUCAUAAGUUCUGCACUCUCACGGCCCAAGAUUACUAACAUUUAAAUUUUCGGCCCAACACCCAAACUCGCAUCUUAACUCACUCUUAACUCAACCCGUUUUUUCUCUUCUCUUCAGCCUAUUUUAAAUUUAAAUAAGAACAAAAUUCAAAUUAAAUGACAACUAAUAAUAAUAAUAAAAAUACGUUAAUAUUAUUUACAUAAUUAUUUUUUUUUAAAUUAAAAAUUCUCUCUCCUCAAUCUUUUUUUGGUAAUAAAUAUAUUUUUAAUUCUUUUUUAAACUAUUUUUGCCUUUCAUAAUAUUAAUUUUAUUAUUGCAAACUCUUCUAUACUUUAUUUUUCAAUAUUCACUCAUAUACAGUCAGUUAAAAUUUAAUUUUUAUUACAUUAAUUAAUAAAUAUGAUAGUUCAGAUGGUAUAAAUUUUAUAUAAAUACAUAAAUAUAAAAAUAUUUUCGGGGUGGAAAUGCUAAUUAUUUUUUUACUUGUGAAUAAUUUUGUUUCAAUUUAUUAUGUUAUUCUCUAUAGUGUACAAUUGUUUUCUAUUUUUGUGUUAUUUUUUUCUCUUUAUUUAUUUAAAUUAAUAACUAUUAUAAAAAUUAUAAGUUAAUAAGUUAAUAAACAUUAUAAACCUAAAGAGUUGAUUUGUAAAAUGUCCACUUUCAUAUUGUAAAAAUAAAAAAUGUCCACUAAAAUAAAAAACUUAAAAAAUAUCAAUUGUUACCAAAAUACCCUUCACAUUAAAAAUUAAAAAAAUGUCCACUUUACGUCACCCCUUUAAAAAAUCACGCAAUUCACAAUCAGAAUUUUUUGUUUGUGAAUUCACAACCAGUCGAAUUCACAAUCAAAAUUUAAUUCACAACCAAAAUUUUUUGGUUGUGAAUUCACAACCUAAAUUUAAUUCACAACCAAUUUAUACAAUAUUACCUCAAUAACAAUGCGCAUCCCAGGUCGAUCACUCUUAUCGCGUAUGUCACUUAUUCCCUCCAAAUUCUAACAGAAAGGAAAAAUGUUAUAAUCAAAUGGUAUCAAUAACACGAACAAUCAUAAAACUGAAAAAGCAGAUAAGUAACUACAACUUUGUAAUCAUUACAUAACAGAGAAAUCCAUAUUCAAAAACGUUAUACAUAACGGAUUACCAAACGUUAUUAAUAUCAAAAAACCGUUAUGUAUAGGUGUGUACAUAACAGUGAAUAUUAAACUUUCAUGACGGUUUGAAACGUUAUGUAUAAUACUAUAGAUAACGGAUAUAAUCCGUUAUGUAUAUAUAAACAAUCGUUAUGUAUAAUAGAAUAGAUAACGGAUAUAAUACUAUAGAUAACGGAUAUAAUCCGUUAUGUAUAAUAGAAUAGAUAACGCUUAAAUCUCCGUUAUGUAUGAAAUCCACAUACAUUACACCAUUAUAUAUUACGGAUGUUUUCGCACAUGCGAAUCUGGCGUAGUGAAUAUUUAAGAACCUAAUAUUAAUACAUUAGAUAUGGAAAAACAAAAGACACUCACAUAUCAAAUAAUACCAAUGUACUAAAUUGAGUAAAUGCAUGUGUAUUUUAAACAAUUCCAGUACAUAUAUAACCACAUUUAAAUAAGUCAGGGCUAAUUUAAAGACAUUCAUGAUACUCACCAAUUAAUUAGUACCUUAUUUUCCACGAGUUCAGCAAUUUUCUCAACAAGGGAAGCUUUGUUGGUCUGAUAUGGAAUCUGUUAUGGUGCGCGAGUGCGUGCACACACACACACACAAAGGCUCAAGUAGAUUAUUACUAAUCUUUUUAACGAAAAAUAAAAAGAGAAUAGCUAAUAAUUGAAAGUAAGGAGGAUGAAACCUCUUUUAUUAUAAUUGCCGAGCGCUUGCUCUUGGGAUCCAGCAACUCGAUAUCAGUCUUCCCUCUGACCACCACCCGCCCUCGUCCAGUUCGAUAUGCAUCCAAAAUACUUCAAGGAUUAAACAAAAGUCAAAAUUACUUCAUAUCAUGUUGAGUUCGAUUGAAAAGGCCGAUAAAUUUCUGCUCACCUUUAUAAUCUAUUUAUGAACUUAUAGGAGAUAGGGUUUCAUUGCCAAAUGCACACCAGAAAAUUCAGUUCUAGUUAUGUGAAGAACUCAUUUAGUCCAUUUAUAAUCAUUAUAGUAAAAUCAUGAAUAUCCAGCAUGUGCAGUGUGCAAAAAGCAUGCAGAAAGCUUCAACUUGCUGUGCAUCCAUACCAUUAGUAUGUAGCGAGAAGGUGUGCAAUAACCUACCCAAUAUUUCCCAUUAUGAUUCCUCCAGUUGGGAAGUCAGGUCCAGGCAUGUACUCAAGCAAUUCUUGCAACUGUUACAAAAACACACUUCUAUAACACUUACAUCUCCAUAGAAACAUCAAUGGUGGAAAAGAAACAUCUAAAUUCAUUAAGUAAUCACAACCAUUAAAAAAGAAUAAUGAGAGAACUGCCUAUAAGAUGAAUUCCGCAGCAUAUGUGAUCCCAAUAUUUAUAAUCAUGUCAAAUAUAGAAUUCUUCUAAAGUUAUAUAGAUCGACAAAAGGAACAUUAAAGUUGAAGAAAAAUAAGUUCAUAGUCAACUGGUGAAGUUCAGGCUAAGAUACACAAUUUGGACACUGAUAUGUUAUACAUACUGUUUUUGUGAUUUUGUUUUUCCAACAGUUGACUGCUGGGAAAAGGAUUAAGCAGUUUACUUCAUGAUAAAGAACUGGUUUCAACACUCUGCUCCAAGCAUGUAGCAAUAAAUAAGCAGAAUUACAAAGCAACAAUCUUAACGGAUAACAGAACAAAUAACCACCUUAUAUCAAUUAAGGAACAAUCAGAAAGGAAUUAAGGAAGGGGAAGAAGAUCACAGGGCAAGCUUAGAUCUAGUUACAGGCAACAACUUUCAUCAUUCAGAAGAUAUCAUGUUGAAAAAGUUCACAAGAUACUGAUGCUUGACUGGUUAAAAUGAUACCGUUGCAUCGGGAUUGUGAAUCAGCACGGAAAGUGCAUCUACCAACUCCCCAAGAUUAUGCGGUGGAAUAUUGGUAGCCAUUCCAACCUGAGGAUGGGAGGAAGCAAACAUAAUAGAUGAAGUGAUAACAGACAAGCGGCCAAGCAAAUGAAAAGUCAAGAGCCAGGCAAAAACAUACCGCAAUCCCUGAAGAACCAUUUAAUAGCAAGUUGGGGAUGCGAGCAGGAAGCAGAGAUGGUUCUUUUUGUGAAUUAUCAAAGUUUGGAACAAAAUCAACCUACAACAUGUAUGCAUGUCAAUAAAGAAGCAAAUAAAACACAAUCACUGAAAAAAUAGGACAAUUUAUUAACAAUAACACACCGUAUCUUGCUCCAAAUCUGCCAAUAACAUGGCCUCCGUGAGUGCCUGAAAGAAUAACAACAGCAUAUUGGUACUCAUCAGUUUCAUUAGAGUAGUAGACAAAGGAAGAAGGAACAUCUACAAAUUAAAGCUCUGUGAGGCUCCAGAAAAAAUCAUAGUAGACUACCUCCAGCCUGCACUUUGUGUAACGCAUUGCUGCAGCAGGAUCCGCAUCAAUAGAGCCAAAAUUCCCAUGCCCACGAAUCAGUGGAGAGCGCAACGAAAAAUCCUAAGUUGCAAGUGGAUAGAAAUAGUUGAAAGAGGAGAUGAAGCAUAUGUAUCAGACUUGUCUUACAUGGACAUGUACAGCUGUGCUGCUGUACUAAUACUUAAACCUACUCCCUCCGUCCCAAACGAAAGUAGAUAAAGUGGGUUGGUGGAAAUUAUUUAAAUAUUAAGUAGAGAGAGAGAGUGUAUUGCCAAAAAAGGAAACGUGACAUUUCGUUUGGGACAGCCCAAAAAGGAAAACAUGACAUUUCGUUUGGGACGGAGGGAGUACAUUUUAUCAGCAAACCAAGCAACUAGAGAGCGCACACAGGUGUUAAAUUAAUCCAAAAAGUUAGGUCCUUGCCCCCAAAUAAUAUGCCUUUUGCCAUAAAUCCAUAAUUAGGUUAUGAGAUAGCUAUUUUUUCAAUAAAUCUAUGAUCAACAGACUGACUUUGGGUGACCAUAACUAUUCUCUAGAAAGGCUCUACACUGAACCGCUGGGUGUUCUGGACUCCUAGACAUGAUUUCUACAAGCUCACAAAAUUUCAGGUAAAAAGGACAAGGGAUUCGUGAGAUAUGACUCUCCAAACUUGCCUACUUCACACUGUCCCAACACUUAGCCAAAUUUUUUCAAUGAAUUUAUGUUCAACAGACUGACUUUGGGUGAGAUAAUUUCGCUACGACAUCUCUAUACUGAAACAAUGGGUUUUCUGACUCGUUGCCAUGUAUUUGUACAAGCUCAACAAAAGUUCAGAUUAAAAUGAUAAGUGGUUAGUAAGAUAUUACUCUCCAAAAUUUCCUACUUCACAUUGUCCCAACACAGCCAAGUUUUUUUUCAAUAAAUUUAUGAUCAACAGACUGACUUUGGGUUGGACCAUAACUAUUCUCUAGAAAGGUCUAUACUGAACCGCUGGUGUUUGGACUCCUAGACAUGAUUUCUACAAGCUCACAAAAAUUUCAGGUAAAAAUGACAAGGGAUUCGUGAGAUAUGACUCUCCAAACUUGCCUACUUCACAUGUCCCAAACUUGCCAAUUUUUUCAAUGAAUUUAUGUUCAACAGACUGACUUUGGGUGACGAUAACUUUCGCUACGACAUCUCUAUACUGAAACAAUGGGUUUUCUGGACUCGUUGCCAUGAUUUGUACAAGCUCACAAAAGUUCAGAUUAAAAUGAUAAGUGGUUAGUAAGAUAUUACUCUCCAAAAUUUCCUACUUCACAUUGUCCCAACACAGCCAAGUUUUUUUCAAUAAAUUAUGAUCAACAACUGACUUUGGGUGACCAUAACUUUCUCUAAAAGGCUCUAUACUGAACCGCUGGGUGUUCUGGACUCCCCGACAUGAUUUCUACAAGCUCAAAAAUUUCAUGUAAAAAGGACAAGUGGUACGUGAGAUAUGACUCUCCAAAGUUGCCUACUUCACACUGUCCCAACACUUAGCCAAAUUUUUUCAAUGAAUUUAUGUUCAACAGACUGACUUUGGGUGACGAUAACUUUCGGCUACGACAUCUCUAUACUGAAACAAUGGGUUUUCUGGACUCGUUGCCAUGAUUUGUACAAGCUCACAAAAGUUCAGAUUAAAAUGAUAAGUGGUUAGUAAGAUAUUACUCUCCAAAAUUUCCUACUUCACAUUGUCCCAACACAGCCAAGUUUUUUUCAAUAAAUUUAUGAUCAACAGACUGACUUUGGGUGACCAUAACUAUUCUCUAGAAAGGAUCUAUACUGAACCGCUGGGUGUUCUGGACUCCUAGACAUGAUUUCUACAAGCUCACAAAAUUUCAGGUAAAAAUGACAAGGGAUUCGUGAGAUAUGGAAUCCCUUCCAAUGAUCUUUACCCGUUGGACAUUUGUAGUAAAAACGGCCGGGGUUCCUUGAGCCGUAGCCGGCACACUUUAGCUUCAUGCUACCUUUGCCACAACUACACUGAGGAGGUGGUGUCGAGUCCUCGUAAGCAGCGUCCAUCCCUUUUGGAUCCAAAAACUUUCAUUAGAAAUUUAACAAAAGCGUAGCAACACAUAAUAUUUAUGAAGGCAACGAAUCACAUGAUCACAAAUCCACAACAUUUAGCCGAAGACAGAAGAACUGUACAGAUUGUAAGUAAAAUAUGGAAAGCAUGACAAUAACUUAUUGCGAGAAAGUAGUGAGAAAUGACAUAUCUACAUAUUUUAAUUCGCAUAAAACAGGUCAAGUAUAUAAUCUAACUCUUUUUAUCAUAUGAUUUAAAACCACCUGUCAAGUACGAAUAAAUAUUCGGGUCCAUGAGCUCAACUUCUUUGUCAAGCAAAAUUCGAAGAAAUCCUCAACUAAUAUAAAAGUAAACAAGGUUCAUAUAGUAAUUACAAAAAGUAGCGGUAUAAAACCUAAUUGUUAUUCAAAUAUUGCAACCACAUGGCGUCGGCCAAGGCAUUCCUCGCCGCGUUCCAUUGGGGGGAACUAUCAACUUGAUCUAUGAACUCAUCGGGUGUUGCAUCUAAUGUUCCACCGUUGUCUUGGGGCAUGUCAUCUAGUUGUUGUUCAAUAGGAUCGACCGCCAUUUCCAUUCGAAUGAAAUUGUUGAGUAAAAAAGCUGCCAUUAUGAGUCUAUUUUGCACUCGAAUUGGAUAAAAAGACGGUGAUCUAAGAAUUGCCCAUCUCAUCUUCAAUAUCCCAAAGGCUCUCUCUAUCGCGUUCCUUGCUUUACUAUGUCUUAAGUUAAAGAGUUCCUCUUUAUUUUGUGGUCGUGCAUUGUUUGGUCCCCACUCUUUUAAAUGAUACCUAACGCCUUUAAACGGCGUUAGGAAACCAUCACUAUUGGCGUAACCGUUGUCACACAAGUAAUAUUUCCCUAUCAAUAUAACAAUAAAAUAAAUAGAUCAAUUAAUUAUCAUGUUAUAAAGUAAACAUAUGUAAGUAAUGAAAUUAGUAGAUAGUAAUAUAUACCCUUUGGGACCUUAAGGCCAUGAGGUCUACUAAUGGCAUCUCGUAAGAUUCUAGAGUCCGCUGCCGAACCUUCCCAACCGGCUAAAACGUAACUGAAAUUCAAAUUUCGAUCACAUACACCUAAAACAUUAGUUGAUAUCUGUCCUUUCCUUGUUCUAUAUCGGGGUUUGUCCUCAUUACCAACCAUGACACUCACAUACGUGCCGUCUAAGGCCCCUAAACAGCCCUAUUCACAAGUCACACAUCAAAUUAGUAAACAACACCAAAAACAAUAAAUAUUGGUUUAAUGAAAAUAAUAUUUAUUCAUGUUAUGUAUACCUUAAACCAUCGCCAUCGUGGAUCAUUGCAAUCCGCGGGAACAGCCUCUGGCUUGGCUAAAAACAAAUCAUGAAGCCGAAUAAUAGCACCUAAUACGACAUGGACGUAGUGCGAUAUUGUUUGACCGGAUCUCCAAAAGUUGAAGCGAACAACUCUAUUUUUUUUAUGGUGGGCUAAAACUGAAAGAAACAUUGCUACUUGUUCCUCAACGGUAACGAAACGACCGUUAACCAAACCCCCCUGUUCUCGCAAAAUAACACAAAGCCUAGCAAAAGUCCUACGGUCCAUUCGAAGGUUGGAAAUGCAGUCAUCAUCGUUGAGACCAACUAAUCGGGUUAAAUGUUUUUCUUGGUCGGGCAACUUACGUAUUAGCUCAUAUUUUAGGGCUCCAGUUUCACGCCUUCUUUUGCCUAACCUAGUCUUAUGAUAAUACACAAGUAACAUUGUCAAUUGAAUCACGUGAACUCGCAAUAUUUCUUGCAACAAAACAAAUUGCAUGUCACGCAUCCGACUGUCUUCCUUUCCAGGCAUUUUUGAAAUCAAUGGCAGAAAAUAUGAGGUAUUUUAAGAGCCUAGUAUCAAAGAAAAAAUUUGCAGGUAUUAACAUCAGCGGUUUGCACUAAUAUUUAUCAGCACAGAGCAAUUUUGAAAUCAAUUGCAAUUAUAUAUCAGAACAGAGCAUUAUAUCAGAACAUAGCAUCAAUAUAAUAUGUAUCACAUAAAAUACAAGUACCAGAACAAAGCAUUAUAUUCAUUGCAGUUCGAAAUCCCAAAUUCUUAGCUAUAAGCUUGUCAUCACACACAGCAAAAUGCAUCUCUCACCAUAUAAUAUGGACACACGUAAGUUUUAAAUAAGAUGCAAAAAAAACUGAAAUUGAAUGGAAAUAUAAUGCCUAAUCUGCAAAUCCUUCUCAUGCUGCUACACUGAACAUAAUUUGGUGCAAGGAACUCACCUUUGUGGUUAUCGGAUCUGUGAAGGCGUUCCUCAAUAUAUUUCCCUACAUUUGUGGUCAAAAAUGAGAUAGGAACUAAAUCCAAGGAUUACACAAAUGGUGGAACGAAAUAGACCCAAUAACAUCUAAAAUAGUUUGAACACUAAAAAAAUCAAAAACCAGAGCAGUAAAAAUCGUGGUGGUGAUUUAUUGGGUUUUUUUCAAUUUUUGGGUCGGCGGCAAACAAAAAUUAAUGCCGGCCAAAAAAAUUUCCCCUCAAACGAAAACCACGGCGUGAACGAAAUUUUGCUGACCUGAUUUGGAGGGCGACGCUGGUUCACCAAUGUUGCUGUUCCACCAGCUCUCCAGAUUUCCGAUGACAAGGAGUUCUCGCCGCCCACAAAUGUUCAGAGACAAAUGGAAUGGGAAACGAUGGAAGAGGUGGGAAGUUAGGGCAAAAAGAUGUUCAUCGAAAACAGUGAAAAGGGCAGUCCAAAUUAAGCCAGAUUCGCGUGACAAAAUUAAUCGGAGGGGGGGAGGUGGUAUUAUUAGACGGGGUUAUUCCUGAAAAUUAAGACCGGGCCCUGUUUUAAACCUGGGCCUUCCAUAUUAUUCUAACAGAAUAGCAAACACCGCAUUAAUGUGGAUUAACUUUACUUAUACAGGCUAUAACCCAAUACCAAACACACCCUCAGUGGCCAAAGAUUACUACAUUUAAAUUUUCGGCCCAACAGCCCAAACUCGCAUCUUAACUCAGCCCGCUUUUUCUCCUCUUCAGCCUAUUUUAAAUUUAAAUUAAAUAAGAACAAAAUUCAAAUUAAAUAGACAACUAAUAAUAAUAAUAACAAUAAUAAAUUACUUGUAAAUUAUUUACAUAAUUAUUUUUAAAAAAAUAAAAAAAAAUCUCUCUCCUCAAUCUUCUUUUUGGAAUAAAUUUUGCCUUUUCAUAAUAUUAAUUUUUAUUAUUGCAAACUCUUCUUUACUUUCUUUUUUCAAUAUUCAGCUCAUAUACAGUCAGUUAAAAUUUAAUUUUUAUUACAUUAAUUAAUAAAUAUGAUAAUUCAGUUGGUAUAUAUUUUAUAUAAAUACAGAAAUACAAAAAUAUUUUCAGGGUGGAAUUGCUAAUUAUUUUUUUACUUGUGAAUAAUUUUGUUUCAAUUUAUUAUGUUUUUCUCUAUAGUGUACAAUUAUUUUCUAUUUUUGUGUUAUUUUCUUCUCUUUAUUUAUUUAAAUUAAUAACUAUGAUAAAAAUUAUAAGUUAAUAAGUUAAUAAAUAUUAUAAAUAAAUUAUGACCAUGUCAGUUUUAAAAAUAAGAGUAGUGAUUAAUUACUUUAGUAUUUAUUUUUUCAAAAUAUGUUGAAAAUCAUUGAAUUUUAAAUUAAAAUCAUGAAGAUUAUGUGUAAAUUAUUUACAUAAUUGUUCUUAAAAGUAUUUUAUUGCAUAUUAUUAUUUUUUGUUUUAAUUUUAAUAUAUAUAUAUAUACGCAGGCAGGUCUUUCCCGAUUGGGCCAUUCACAAAAAUAAUAGUAUUUCAUUUUUUUCCCCUUGAGGAACAAUAUUUCAUUUAUUUAUAUAAAGCAAACGAUUGAAAAUUAUUUCAUAAUCCGGUCCCACUCUUGCCAAAUUCACACACGCAAAAUCCAUCUUAAUGUGAUUUUUCAAUGUGAAGUACUUGUUAAAAAGGAAAAGGUUAAACAUCUAAAACUAAAAUACUCAAGUGUCUUUGCUUCACUUGUUUAAACAUAGUUCAUUUCCCAGAAGGAAUAAAUGAGUGUAAGAAAUCAAGUUGAAGAAUAUUUACCUGAGUAACAUGUUUGCAAAUGAAAGAUGAAGAUAUAUUAUCAGUAAGAAAUGAAGUCUUGCGUUCCAGAGUUUUUCAAAUAAUAAAUUGGCACAAUGUACAACAAAAUAUGAGAUGUGAAGAGCUAGGGCUUCAUUAAAAUUUCAUUUACAUACUUGAGACUCCUUGUAUAUUAACUGUCCACGCUACAGAGGACGGGGGAGAACUCCGUCCACGGGUUGCUUGAAUUCCAACUGCAUUUAAUUAUUUCCACACAAUCAGAUCACCUCACAAAGAGCGCGUUUUAGCAACAAAAGAAAGGAGAGAGAGAGAGAGAGACGACGUACUUCUUUAGUCCUUGAUCCAUUAUGGUAUGGCCAACACAGAUGCCCUGUGUCUCAACUCUUACAACUCCCUUCUUGAAUGUAAAGAGAUCAGGUCUCACUAGUGCAACAAAACUAACAGGAUCGUGCAGGAAAAUUCCUGUAUAUCACUAAUGUCAGAAUUAAAUUCAAUAAUGAAUCCUCAUAUGUUUAACAUAACACGAGGAUUACCGUAAACUCCAUCAGAUUUGACAUGCCAGUCGCGGUAGAAUUUGCACAUAUCACAUAGAAGCUGUGCGUGCCUUCCACUCGACUUCCUUAGCUCUUCAAGGUGCAUGUCUGAAGACGAGAUGUUCAAAUGGGAUAUUACUUGUAUGGAAUAAUGAAACGAUGAGAAACUAGAAAGUUAGUCGAUUUAUUAGAGGUAUUUCAACCUGUCAGUUUGACUUGCGUUGUGAUGUUUAUGCCAACGACAUCAAUAUUGGCCCCAGAAGUGAAUACAACAUCUGCUGCUUCUGGAUCUCCAUAAAUCUGCCAAUCACAUAAGAGCGAAUUAAAUAAAUUUCACAAAUUUAGAUAUGACAUAACAAUUGUAAGGAAAAAAGAGCCAACUAUACAUCAAAAUAAUAAGAUUCCACGUUAGCCAUCAUUAACAAUUAAUAGAACAAUAAAAAUGGGCAGACUACAUACAUUUGCCUCAGCAGCGGGAUUAACAUUUCCUAAUGCAAAGAAAGACUCCACCAAGUAUCACCAGUCUCUUUAUUUUGCUAGCAAAUGACGAGUCCCUUUUUUAUAGCCUAAAUAAAAGGAAAAAGUACACUUACUUACUGAGUCGAUCAGAACAUUCGUGAAAUCAAUGACAAAUAGGUCACUUACUAGAGCAAUAUUUGUUAGAGGUCCCAAUGCAAGUAUAGAGACUUCACCAGGAUAUUCAGAAACCUCAUCGACCAAAAAUUCAGGUGCAGAUUUGUCACAUUUCCCAGAUUUGGGAGGAUCGAGAGAAAUGUUCCCCAAUCCAUCUGAACCAUGGACAAAGUCAGCAAUACGUGGUUUCCUCUCUGUAUCAGAUUUCAAUAAGGUCAGGCAGUAGAGCGUAUAAUAACAUAUAAUAUCAACAAUAACAUCAAACCAUACUUUGCUCUCAUAGUCUCAUUAGCAUUUCACAGUAUGAAAAUCACGGAUAUUGAGCCUAUUAUGUAACAGAGAGAUAGCUGUAUAUGGAGGCUGACAUUCCACUUUGUUCCAAGAGAGUGUCUCAAGAAAACAGACGAGUACUAGAAUACNUACUCUCUCCUCUCUCUUCUUUUUGGAAUAAAUAUAUUUUUUAAUUCCAAACCGAACUAUGGAAUUCAGUUUGAAGCCAACGGUUAUUAUAAUAAAAAGAGUUUGUAAGCAUAUGAAAGUCCCGCUACUCUACGUACGUAAUUUCCUUCUUCAAUGAAGAUCACCUUCUCCACGCAUUGAUUGCCCUAACCUCUUCACAAACCCUAGCGCUAUUGCCACGUUGUCGUUGCCGAAACAUUCUCACGGCCGCACCACUCUCUCUCUCUCUCGACCAAACCAACACCGCACAUCUUUCUUCCAACCACCGCCGACGAGCAGUAGCUGCUAGUUUCCUCACCGUCGUGCCUCCGUUCUCGCCACGGCGCCUCAUUCUCGUUGUCGAGAUUUUCAGGUGGGUUUUUUUCUAUUAUCUUGAUAGUAUUUUGUGCUCUAAGUGUUGAACUUCUUAUUCAAUUACCAUAUGACCUUCCCCCAAUAUGUUAAGCACUCUUCUUCAACGUUAGUUUUUUGGUUUUGAUAUUUUGUUUUACUAUUUAUUUAACCAUUGUCCAUGAAUAUGUGUUUUGUUACAAAUUAGUUUCAAGAAAUUUUACAAAUAUCUCUUCUUAUGCUGAGUGUCUUGAACCUCUAUAUCUCUGAGUAUAGACCGUAUUUUUGAAUGAGUUUAGUUCAAGUAUGUAGCCCCAAUUCCAAGGUUUUCAGAAUGGUAUGACACAUCACCAUAAGAGUUUUGAGUCAAUAGAUACAAGCCCUCAAAGUUCAGCUAUCAAAGCUAUCAACCCACAAAAUCUGAAAAAUUUGGCUAAGUGUUGGGACAAUGUGAAGUUGGCAACUUUGGAGAGUUAUACCUCACGAACCACUAGCCUUUUUUACCUGAAAUUUUAUGAGCUUGUAGAAAUCAUGUCAAGUAGUCCAUAACAUCCACCUUUUGUAGUAUAUAAUAGCACCUUUAUUCUCUUUGUGAUAACUAACCAUGAUUCAGGACUACUUAUGUGUUUCUAUGUGUGUGCACGUGUAAGUGAGAGAGAGAGAGGGAGCAGAUAAGAUAAGACAAAAUAAAACAAAACAAAACAAAUCAAGAAAAUGAACUAGGACCAAAGAUAUUAGAAGACAAGGUAAAAUAGAGUACAAAUGUGGGUUGAUACAGAUGCUCUUUGGAGGGUGAAGACAACUCAAUUGCUCGUCCGGACAGGAGUAGUGGAUUUAUCUUCCUGUUAAUCGAUCCGGCUUGCUUCCUCCGAUCAGAUCUCUGGUUUGUUCCUUCAAUCUUCAAAAAACACCAUGGACGCCCCAAAUCCAUCAGCAAUCUGCAUCCUCCUCCCAUAUCCUCCGCCUCCGCCCCUUCUGUUCCCCCAACAAGCGUCUGCCUCAUUUCCCACCCGACCGCUUUUCACCCGUCAAUAUGCACCGUCAAUUCGCCUUCUCCAAAUGAAACCCUCGGUGGCAAGCGAAAGAGAGGGGAAGGGAGAAGGCGCCCGAGAGGCGUCUCUCGAACCCUAGUGUCCUACCCUUCCUUUUACUUCAGCCCAAGUGUUCACCCAACGGUCAUAAGUUCGGCACUCUAAGCGGCCCAAGAUUACUAACAUUUAAAUUUUCGGCCCAACAGCCCAAACUCGCAUCUUAACUCAGCCC